UACAGAGGUCUCAAGCGUUGUUCGGAUUCAUUGGGCGUAAAGGGUGUGUAGGUGGCGCCGUAAGUCGGGUGUGAAAUUUCGGAGCUUAACUCCGAAACUGCAUUCGAUACUGCGGUGCUUGAGGACUGGAGAGGAGACUGGAAUUCGAUGGUGUAGCAGUGAAAUGCGUAGAGAGUCAUGAGGAAGACCAGUGGCGAAAGGCGGG
rnacentral:rRNA from 1 species